rnacentral:rRNA from 1 species
AGUAACGCGUGAGGAACCUGCCUCAAAGAAGGGGGACAACAGUUGGAAACGACUGCCAAUACCGCAUAAGCCCACGGCUCGGCAUCGAGCAGAGGGAAAAGGAGCAAUCCGCUUUGAGAUGGCCUCGCGUCCGAUUAGCUAGUUGGUGAGGUAAUGGCCCACCAAGGCGACGAUCGGUAGCCGGACUGAGAGGUUGAACGGCCACAUUGGGACUGAGACACGGCCCAG